rnacentral:lncRNA from 1 species
GCAGAUGUGCAUGAGUUUGGUCUAGUGUCCUCUGUAGUGGACCUUAGGACAGUUCCAAUAAGUGUAAGGCCACUCCGGAGUAAGAAAGUGCAUUGGUACUCGUAGUUGCUCGAUAACUCGAAUUAAGAAAUGAUUUGAGUUUCGAGGAUGAAACUCUUUUAAAGAGGGGAGAGUGUAAAAUACCGAACUUCUUAAGUUAUGAAGUUACGGUGUAUGUUAGUUUGGAAAGCCAUUAGAAUGGUUCCGGUGAAGUUCGGGUGCGUUUGGGAGUUUUCGGUACGCGUCGGGCGCGAAAAUGGAACCCGAAAAGCUAUGAUUGGACCUUGGCCGAAAUCCGGCAAGGCGUGGAUGAAAAGACGGUUUAAACACGCUCGAAAAUAUGUAUUGGGGGUCUUGGUACGAUUAGAGAUGAAUCGGAGGCCCUAUGAGCGAAAACUAGUG